CCUCUCGUGGCGUAGGGGUAACGUGACCUAUUUGGAGAACAGGGAGUCGUGAGUUCGAUUCUCACCGAGAUAU
rnacentral:tRNA from 1 species